GGGCCUAUAGCUUAGUCUGGUUAGAGCGCUCGGCUCAUAACCGAGCGAUCACCGGUUCGAAUCCGGUUAGGCCCACCA
rnacentral:tRNA from 6 species